rnacentral:rRNA from 1 species
UACGGAGGGUGCGAGCGUUAUCCGGAUUCACUGGGUUUAAAGGGUGCGUAGGUGGGAAUGUAAGUCAGUGGUGAAAUCUCUGAGCUUAACUCAGAAACUGCCAUUGAUACUAUGUUUCUUGAAUUUUCUGGAGGUCAGCGGAAUAUGUCAUGUAGCGGUGAAAUGCUUAGAUAUGACAUAGAACACCAAUUGCGAAGGCAGCUGGCUACAGGGAUAUUGACACUGAGGCACGAAAGCGUGGGGAUCGAACAGG